rnacentral:lncRNA from 1 species
UUUUUUUAAUUUUAUCUCAAGAAAAAUGUUUUUUGUUUCUCACACAAAUUUGUAAAUUUUUUCUCUUUGGAAUUAUAGUAUUUGAUGGAUACAUUGCUCAUUUUGCUUUUUUUAUAUAUAUCUCCGUUAUAUAUGAAUGGAAACCGUUAAUACUUUUAUUACCAUGGUAAUUACAGAUCUAGAUAGUUCCAUUCCCAUUAAGUAUUUUACAAAUUUUCGGUACAAAUAAUAGCUAUAGUAGUUUAAUAAUUUGCUAAUUUAUAAACAUUUAGAAAAAUUUGUUGCGAGUUUAUUGUAGAAAAUUUGCUUUUCAAACAAAUAGAGCUAAUUUUUGACAUAAUUAGGAUUCGUCACCUGAUUCUUUGUCAAAUACUUCUCCUUUUUAAAUAGGAAAGGUUAAAUUUUAUAAAAAAGUUUGCCAAAACACUGGGAGAAAUGUCACGUAAUUGGUAACUAUGUUAAAUACACUUUUGUUAGGUCCACGUAAUUUUCGAAUCUGCUCAUCACUACGUUAGAUGGCGUUAUUUCUUUAAAAUACCUUAAAAAUCUUCAAUUCAAAGUUUUUGUUUCGAAUCAUCAAAAUAUUGGCAUAUGAUAUAAAUAUACGAUUCUAAUAAACCAAAAGUAUGUGGAAAAAUUGCGCAUACUUAGGCAUCAUAAAAACUUAAUUCACACCAACCAUUUACUUCGAUAUUUUUUAGUGUAUGGCAGAAAAAUAAAUUACGAAUUGUCUUAGAUAAAUAAAGUUACCGGACCUUUAUUACUUAAUCCAUAAACAAUUAUUGUUUCAUUCGAUUUAACACCACAAUAAAAAACAAAGCUUUUUCUAUUUAUUUUCGAAAAACGUUUUACAGGAAACCGAGUUCUUUUGUAGCAUUUUAGUUAGAGUUAUAGAAAAAUCUAUAACUCUUAUUUUGUUAAGUAAAAAAAAAAUCUUAUGCUCUUCUAAUUUUAGUCACCAAUAACAACUAUGUUAGGAAUAGUAGAAAAUGUUAUGUGUGGUAGAGAAACUGUUUUAGUGUGGUGUUGUAGGAGUACUGCGGGUCUAAGAAACUUUGUUUUCAUCGAUAAAUUAUUCUAUUGGUCUAUUAAAACAGUAUGAAAACUUUCCAGUAUUUAUAUUUGAUGUCUUUUUUUCAUUUUAUUUUAUAAUUGUAAUUUAAGUUUCAAAAAGCAGCAAAAACAACUUGAAAAGAACUAUCGCACAAUGACUCGCUUAAACACAGGAUUCCAAUUUCCUGAUAUACAUGGAAAUGCUGAUAUUGCUUUCACUAUAUUGUCUCUUUGUAAUGUGUAACAUCAUUUUUACUUAGGUUUGCCAAAUGACCGGCUUUUACAGAGUAGAAUAUAGUCCCAAACAUAUACAGUUCAGUUCUUUUACUGCUUUCUUCUUCAUAAAAGCCGGACGUCUUGCAACCCUUGAAUUUCCCCUUCUUUUUGUUUGCAUAAAUUACAUAAUUCUCUUAAUUAUAAAUACUCCAAAUCCGAUUUUCGAACAGCGUAUUUUAAAAUCUAAAGAAAUAUAAGCGAUUAAAGAUUACAUUUUGCAAGCCAACUGGAUGCUUAAACAACUCAAAAGACAGCCACGCGCUCAUUAUAGCUCUCUUAUAGUUUUAGAAUCUGAGUGAGUUACUGUUUUGAAUAUCUAAAAUCUUCAAAUUAAGUUUUUAUGAUUUUAAGUUAAAUUAGACUUAAGAAUAUGUGUAAGAAUUGAGAAUAAAUAUUUACUUUUUAUUUUAGAAAUGAACACACAAGAAAAUUUAAACGACGAUGAUGGUGACUUUUUUAGAAAAAAAUUAGAAGAUUUACAAAAGUCCAUAGGUGAGUAAAAUUGCUUUUAUGUUUAUUAUACACCCUAAUUAUUUAUGUACAUCUAAUAUUAAAUGCGUUUUUUCAAUUUGAGAUUAGUUUUGGACUUUGUACUUUUUGGUCAAUUUUUUUAGAUAUCAUUUUAAACUACAUUUGUAAGUAACUAUAUUAUGUUUUAUGUCUCAUAAAAGUUUUAAUAAAUAAUAUAAUGUAAUCACUUAUAUAGUGACAAAUCCAACUUCCUCAGUAACGUAUGUUGUUGUACUCACUUAUACUUGACUUAAUUUAUGGAUUAAUUGGUUUUAUUGCAUUUUUAAUUUUCUUUUAUU